AUUUCCUUCAAAUUUAGCCCUCGUCUAUCCUCACCAUGCAUCAUAUCUUACAGCUGUUCCUUCACACCUCCAGUUGCCGCUAAGUGAGCUGGACAGUGGCUGAAUUGGUUCCUCUAAAACGUUAUUCUUUUGUUCUUAAUUUAAUUCUGAAGUCGAAGAGGUGGAGGAUUUGGAGACUUAAGGAUGACAUCUCUAAAGUUAAAUUUCAUAUUGGCCCACAUUUUGGUGCUCAUUAUGGGGUCCGUUAAGGUUUGGUCUCAGUUCUGUGUUAACACUUCAGUCAGCUGUACUUGCUUGAUAGAUGGACAAGGAGAGUGUAAAUGGAUUAUUAAU